ACUUGUAAACUGGAGGAGGGGAGUAGUGCUUCACCGGUGGUGGUGGAGACUUGUAAACCGGAGGAGGAGAGUAGUACUUAACCGGUGGUGGGGCAGACUUGUAAACGGGAGGAGGGGAGUAGUGCUUAACCGGUGGUGGGGGAGACUUGUAAACCGGAGGAGGGGAGUAGUGCUUAACCGGUGGUGGGGGAGACUUGUAAACGGGAGGAGGCGAGUAGUACUUAACCGGUGGUGGGGGAGACUUGUAAACCGGAGGAGGCGAGUAAUGCUUAACCGGUGGGGGUGGAGACUUGUAAACCGGAGGAGGGGAGUAGUGCUUAACCGGUGGUGGUGGAGACUUGUAAACGGGAGGAGGCGAGUAGUACUUAACCGGUGGUGGUGGAGACUUGUAAACGGGAGGAGGCGAGUAAUGCUUAACCGGUGGGGGUGGAGACUUGUAAACGGGAGGAGGGGAGUAGUGCUUAACCGGUGGUGGUGGAGACUUGUAAACGGGAGGAG
rnacentral:lncRNA from 1 species